GAUGAAGAACGUAGCAAAAUGCGAUAAGUAGUGUGAAUUGCAGAAUUCAGUGAAUCAUCGAAUCUUUGAACGCACAUUGCGCCCCCUGGUAUUCCGGGGGGCAUGCCUGUCCGAGCGUCAUUACAACCCUCAAGCUCUGCUUGGUGUUGGGCCCCGCCGCCCCGGCGGGCCCUAAAGUCAGUGGCGGUGCCAUCCGGCUCCGAGCGUAGUAAUUCUUCUCGCUCUGGAGGUCCGGUUGUGUGCUUGCCAUCAACCCCCAAUUUUUUUCAGGUUGACCUCGGAUCAGGUAGGGAUACCCGCUGAACUUAAGCAUAUCAAUAAGCGGAGGA
rnacentral:misc_RNA from 1 species